GUUGUACUUGAAUUGAAGCUACUACCGCAUUCAGUUUUUUCAGUUUUCAAGAAAGAAAAAAAAAAGAUAAUGGCGCAAGUUCCUGACAAUGAUAGCAGUGAAGAGACGAAUUCCAGGUUCCACACGACGUUGUACGUAGGGGAUCUUGACGAGACCAUCGACGAGAGCCAGCUCUUUAUUAUCUUCGAUCAUGUUGCAAAAGUCGUUUCCGUUCGAAUUUGCCGCGACUACGCAACUGGGAAGUCCCUUGGUUACGCCUACGUGACUUACAGUAGCCGUUACAAUGCCGCUAAAGCAAUAAAAGAGCUAAAUUUCGUUUCGGUGAAUGGCAAAACCAUUAGGGUAACGUAUUCUAAUCGGGACCCCAGUGUUCGUAAGAGUGGUAGAGCUAACCUUUAUGUAAAGAAUUUGGCUCCGUCAAUCUAUCACAAGGCUCUAUACGAUCUCUGUUCGUCUUUUGGGAAUAUUCUAUCUUGCACGGUUGCAACGGAUGCUUCUGGCCAGUCUAAAGGUUAUGGUUUUGUGCAGUUUGAGAGCGAAGCAUCUGCAAAAGAAGCGAUUGAAAAGUUAAACGGCACGCUGCUCAAAGAUAAAAAGAUCUAUAUGGGUCCUUUCGUGUCAAAGCAGGACAGAGUGAAUAGUGACGCAAGCUUUUCAAAUGUUUAUGUUAAAAACCUGUCAGACACAAUAACGGAUGCUGAGUUGCAGAAUAUUUUCGGAGAAUAUGGUGAUAUUACAAGUGCUGUAGUGAUGAGACAUACAGAUGGUAGA
rnacentral:sRNA from 1 species